GAGUMMMAUCAUGGCUYAGGACGARCGCUGGCGGCGUGCCUWACACAUGCAAGUCGAACGGGGGUWGCAAUWCCUCAGUGGCGAACGGGUGCGUWACMCGUGRARAACUUGUCCMUYSGCSGGGGRUUASCCGGCCCAACGGCCGGGUAAUACCGCGUACGCUUGUCGGAUGGCAUCACCUGACAAGGAAAGCAGCAAUGCACCGAUGGAGAGCUUCGCGGCCUAUCAGCUAGUUGGCGGGGUCAAGGCCCACCAAGGCGACGACGGGUAGCUGGUCUGAGAGGAUGGCCAGCCACAUUUGGGACUGAGACACGGCCCAGACUCCUACGGGAGGCAGCAGUGGGGAAUAUUGCGCAAUGGGCGAAAGCCUGACGCAGCGACGCCGCGUGCGGGAUGAAGGCCUUCGGGUCGUAAACCGCUGUCGCGAGGGACGAAACAAAUGACGGUACCUCGAAAGGAAGCACCGGCUAACUCUGUGCCAGCCGCCGCAGUAAUUCA
rnacentral:rRNA from 1 species